GCUGGUGUUUGGUGAUGACCUGAACUUUUUUCCCCAUCAGAUCGUUCAUGCUGAUUAUGGGUGUUUUCAAGUCAAACUCUGUCUGAUUAAACCAGC